rnacentral:rRNA from 1 species
AUUGAAUACGAUUGGUACUGAUGCUGGCUCUUUACUGAGCAUGUGCUCGUUCCAUCUAUUUAUCUUCUCUUGUGCACAUCUUGUGGUCUUGAAUUGAAACCUCUCGCAUUCGUGCGGUUUGGGAGUCUGAAUAAACUCUGCUCCUGCUUCGUUCAAGAUCAUGUUUUCAUAUACACUAUAAAGUUACAGAAUGUCUUUUAACGAUUGCGCAAGCAGUCAUUAAACCUAUACAACUUUCAGCAACGGAUCUCUUGGCUCUCCUAUCGAUGAAGAACGCAGCGAAAUGCGAUAAGUAAUGUGAAUUGCAGAAUUCAGUGAAUCAUCGAAUCUUUGAACGCACCUUGCGCCCUUUGGUAUUCCGAAGGGCAUGCCUGUUUGAGUGUCAUUAAAUUAUCAACCUUGCUCGCUUUUACUAGCUUGAGUUUGGCUUGGAUGUGAGGGCUUUGCUGGCUUCCUUCAGUGGAUGGUCUGCUCCCUUUAAAUGAAUUAGUGGGAUCUCUUGUGGACCGUCACUUGGUGUGAUAAUUAUCUAUGCCUUGAGACUUUGAAGCAAACUAAUGGGAACCUGCUUAUAACCGUCUUCGGACAAUCUCUGACAUUUUGACCUCAAAUCAGGUAGGACUACCCGCUGAACUUAAGCAU